AUUGGACGCUGGCGGCAUGCCUUACACAUGCAAGUCGAACGGUAACAGGUCUUCGGAUGCUGACGAGUGGCGAACGGGUGAGUAAUGCAUCGGAACGUGCCCAGUAGUGGGGGAUAGCCCGGCGAAAGCCGGAUUAAUACCGCAUACGACCUGAGGGUGAAAGGGGGGGAUCGCAAGACCUCUCGCUAUUGGAGCGGCCGAUGUCAGAUUAGCUAGUUGGUGGGGUAAAGGCCUACCAAGGCAACGAUCUGUAGUUGGUCUGAGAGGACGACCAGCCACACUGGGACUGAGACACGGCCCAGACUCCUACGGGGGGCAGCAGUGGGGAAUUUUGGACAAUGGGCGCAAGCCUGAUCCAGCAAUGCCGCGUGCAGGAAGAAGGCCUUCGGGUUGUAAACUGCUUUUGUCAGGGAAGAAAUCUUCUGGGUUAAUACCUCGGGAGGAUGACGGUACCUGAAGAAUAAGCACCGGCUAACUACGUGCCAGCCGCCGCAGUAAAAC
rnacentral:rRNA from 1 species